AACAUGCCUUUUCCAAAGUUACUCCAGCAAAUUGAAGUGGCCAGAACCCAAGCGCGUGCAACAACAGCAUCGCAGGACGGGACGAGAAUUGACCAACGUUAUAGCGCCCACUAUAUGCAACGCACAACGCAAUAACGUUAGCUGUUCGUUCCCGAAGAAGUGCCUCUACGUUUGCACAACUUUUUCUUACUUACAACGCCAAUUAAAUUUUCCUGAAUUCGCGAACCGACCGGCACUGACAGCAUCAACUCGAAAGCUCUGAAUCGUCUUCUUCAAACUGUAACGCUGCUAAAUCGUGAUUGGGGUUCUUUCUACUCACACUCACACUCGCUAUCUCUCCAGCAUUGUCAGUUUGGACACCUUCGCACAUGCGCAUAGCCAAACUGUCAGCGCCGCC